rnacentral:lncRNA from 1 species
GUCAAAGCUAAGUCUUGCUCUUUGCUCUUUAUUAGCAGGGUCCCUAACACAAUGGCUGGCACAGAGAAAGUAUUUAUUACCUGACAAGUGGUUUUGCUACCUCUACUACUACAACUACCGCUACCACUACUGUCACCAUCACUAGUACUGUUGGAGUCACAUUUUCUAGAUCCUCAACAGAGGAGUGCUACCCUGAUAAUCCUCAGUGUUCUGAGGGAAAGGACCAGGAACGGAGACCUCCAACAAAGUUAAAUUGUGGGCCAUCUGGCUUCUGGAUUGUGAGGAAAAUCCUCUUUCUGAACUUCAACUCAAUUCUGCUCUUUCUGCUUAUUUAUGGUAUUGUUAGAGGUCUUGGCUACAAAAGGGAGCAAAAAGGGAAUUCAGAGGACAUCCUAAUUAAAAACGAAAAUGGAUCAUCACACAAGUAG